UAAGGAGGAUCCGAGCGUUAUCCGGAUUCAUUGGGUUUAAAGGGUGCGUAGGUUGUUUUAUAAGUUAGCGGUGAAAUACCGAUGCUCAACUCGGGUGCUGCUUCUAAAACUGUACGACUUGAGUGCAGUAGAGGUUAGUGGAAUUCCUAGUGUAGCGGUGGAAUGCGUAGAUAUUAGGAGGAACACCAGAGGCGAAGGCGGCUAACUGGACUGUAACUGACGCUGAGGCACGAAAGUGUGGGGAGCAAACAGG
rnacentral:rRNA from 1 species